GAUGAACGCUGGCGGCGUGCCUAAUACAUGCAAGUCGAGCGGUAAGGCCCCUUCGGGGGUACACGAGCGGCGGACGGCUGAGUAACACGUAGGAACGUACCCCAAAGUGAGGGAUAAGCACCAGAAAUGGUGUCUAAUACCGCAUGUGCUCUAAGGAGUAAAGCUUCGGCGCUUUGGGAACGGCCUGCGCAUGAUUAGCUUGUUGGUGAGGUAAUGGCUCACCAAGGCGACGAUCAUUAGCUGGUCUGAGAGGAUGACCAGCCAGACUGGGACUGAGAACGGCCCAGACUCCUACGGGAGGCAGCAGUAGGGAAUUUUCCACAAUGGGCGAAAGCCUGAUGGAGCAACGCCGCGUGCAGGAUGAAUGCCUUCGGGUUGUAAAGAUCUUUCAGUGGGGAAGAUAAUGACUGUACCCACAGAAGAAGCCCCGGCUAACUCCGUGCCAGCAGCCGCGGUAAAAC
rnacentral:rRNA from 1 species